rnacentral:rRNA from 1 species
CGGCGGACGGGUGCGUAACGCGUAUGCAACCUACCUACAUCAGGGGGAUAGCCCUAGGAAACUGGGAUUAACACCGCAUAAUAUUAUUAAUGGCAUCAUUGAUAAUUGAAAUAUUUAUAGGAAGUAGAUGGGCAUGCGUAAGAUUAGCUAGUUGGUAAGGUAACGGCUUACCAAGGCUACGAUCUUUAGGGGCUCUGAGAGGAGUAUCCCCCACACUGGCACUGAGAUACGGGCCAGACUCCUACGGGAGGCAGCAGUAGGGAAUAUUGGGCAAUGGAGGCAACUCUGACCCAGCCAUGCCGCGUGCAGGAAGACGGCCCUCUGGGUUGUAAACUGCUUUUGAAUGGGAAGAAUGUGUGGCUUGCGAGCUAUAAUGACGGUACCAUUAGAAUAAGCCACGGCUAACUACGUGCCAGCAGCCGCGGUAAUACGUAGGUGGCGAGCGUUAUCCGGAUUUAUUGGGUUUAAAGGGUGCGUAGGCGGCUUAAUAAGUCGUAACAAGGUAGCCGU